GGGCAAGUGGCAAUGCCAUGCCCAGUCCGAAUAUGACAGACAGCGCCGUGAGAGGGGGGGGGGGGGUCAUGAAAAGACGUCAAGUGCACCAGACUCAUCUGCAUCCCCAUAGAAAGAGGCGAUGUUGCCCACCCAGCGGACGCGGCCUCCAAACUUGGAGUAGUAACGGUUUUGAAUGCGUAAUUCGUUGCCAAUUGUAGGCAACUGACAAUUAGGACCGUGGGUCAUUAUCUUAAAACUGUAUGGGUUUAUGCAUCCAUACAAAGAUGUUCUAUAAUUACGGAAUAGUAUAUGGGCCUACUUGAGCGCUCUAACACUGAUCUAUUGUUUGACUCAUGAUUUUUCAUGUCACAGAGAAAGCAAUAGGCAGAAGUCUAACGAAUUGAAUAGAUGACAUCACGUCAUGUGCGCUCUGUAUUUGAAUUUGAACAGGACUUUAAAAAAAUCUUAAUUUAUUUCUAAAACAAUGCCUAAUUAAUAUAAAGGAUUUUUUCACAGAGUUAGGCCUAGCUAAAGCCCACAUUUAUAUUCGUUUUUUGAAUUGUGAUUAAUAUUUUACAUCCGAAUAAAUUGCAUCUGAAAGAAAUAGCCUAAAAGUGCAGGGAUUGCUUCUGGGCUGUUGAUUCUGUAUGGUGGAUGAUAUUAGCUAUACAGGCCAUUAUAUUAGUCGCCAGUGGAUUUGUUUAUUAACUAUCCAGGGACCACAUGGCAUUCAUAAGGCACAUGGUGACCGGCGGGAUAGAUGUUUUGUUUCUUUAUUGAUGGUAACACAGUUGGAUAGAAUUUUACAAAUGCCAUAAACAUUAAAGGCUUUGUUGGCAACACAAUAGGGUUGUAAAAAACAUUGUUCCUAAAAUAUGGCUUUGCAACAAUACAUAUUUCGGCUACAUUGGAGAAUAGCCUCCAUUUAUGAUGCCAGUUGUAUGAUGCCGGCUGUUUUUUUUGUUAAUGGAUGUUAGUGGUCUGUUGUCUGUGGAUGAGGUUAUUGUUAGGUUCGUGCGUGAUGAGAGUCUCCUGUAGGCUACACACGUGCCUUUAAUUCAAUUAUGAACUGUUCUUUUUCGAAUAGAUCUGUUGUAUAUUUAGGACAGUCUUAGUAACCUAUUAGGCCUUUUCAAAUGGAAGUUAAGGUUUAUUUUAAAAAUAUAGUUUGUAAUGUCCUAUGAUAUAGCCUAUUGUAAGCAUUUCACUCUUAGUCUACACCUGUUGUUUGCAAAGCAUGUGACAAAUACAAUUUGAUUUGAUUGUAUAGCCUAUAGCGCUUGAUUGAUUAGCUGUAGCCUAAAAUAUGAAAGUGUAUGUUUGUGCCCAAAUGCUGGCCUACGUUGUUUUUAGCUGAACGGUCAUAGGCCUAUGUGGAAGAUGUAUAGGUCUAAACUGCAUGCGUAUGCAGUGGUAGGCAAUAGUGCACAGAGGUUUAUUCAAGUUCAAUGUUAAAUAGGCUCACAGUGGCUGAAAGGGGUCUCUUGCCGAGUUUCUCACACCGUAAGACAAAACUAGUGUGUCUUGUCUCGACCCUUUUAAAAGACCGUGUACAAUGCCAGGUCAUUCAUUAUACGUUUGCCUGAAAGAAGAUUUGAGAACACCAUUUGGAAAAGCAGUGAAUAACCACGUUUCAUUGUCCCAGGAUAAGUUGUUAGAAAUCGUUGUCUAGACUUAUGAAUGGCUGCAUUGUUUUCUAGUCUGGGGCCAUACUAAAUGCCAGCGCAGUGUAAAUAAAAACUUGAGGUCUGUAAGUAACCCAGCAUAUAUAAAUCAGUUGAUUCUCCACAGUAUAAAAGGCCACUGCACUGCACUGACUGAAUAAAAAUGUUUCUUCAUCAUUUGAAGUCUGGAGAUGUUUAAUGGUGUGACUUCACCACAAUUCUAUUUUAUGCUUUUUACAGUAAAUCAUGUCUACCAUUUCAACAAAUUAUUCCUCAGCCAAUGCAUUUUGGGGCAGAAUUGCUAGCCUGUUUGUGUCUUACUAGGCUGUUUGUGUCUUGUUAGCCUAUUUGUGUCUUACUAGCCUGUUUGUGUCUUACUAGCCUGUUUGUGUCUUAUUAGUCCGUUUGUGUCUUAUUAGCCUAUUUGUGUCUUAUUAGCCUGUUUGUGUCUUACUAGGCUGUUUGUGUCUUGUUAGCCAAUUUGUGUCUUACUAGCCAAUUUGUGUCUUACUAGCCUGUUUGUGUCUUACUAGCCUGUUUGUGUCUUACUAGCCUGUUUGUGUCUUAUUAGCCUAUUUGUGUCUUAUUAGCAUGUUUGUGUCUUACUAGGCUGUUUGUGUCUUGUUAGCCUAUUUGUGUCUUACUAGCCUGUUUGUGUCUUAUUAGCCUGUUUGAGUCUUACUAGCCUGUUUGUGUCUUAUUAGGCUGUUUGUGUCUUGUUAGCCUAUUUGUGUCUUACUAGCCUGUUUGUGUCUUAUUAGCCUGUUUGAGUCUUACUAGCCUGUUUGUGUCUUAUUAGGCUGUUUGUGUCUUGUUAGCCUAUUUGUGUCUUACUAGCCUGUUUGUGUCUUAUUAGCCUGUUUGAGUCUUACUAGCCUGUUUGUGUCUUACUAGCCUGUUUGUGUCUUACUAGCCUGUUUGUGUCUUAUUAGCCUAUUUGUGUCUUAUUAGCAUGUUUGUGUCUUACUAGGCUGUUUGUGUCUUGUUAGCCUAUUUGUGUCUUACUAGCCUGUUUGUGUCUUAUUAGCCUGUUUGAGUCUUACUAGCCUGUUUGUGUCUUACUAGCCUGUUUGUGUCUUACUAGCCUGUUUGUGUCUUAUUAGCCUGUUUGAGUCUUACUAGCCUGUUUGUCUCUUACUAGUCUGUUUGUGUCUUGCUAGCCUAUUUGUGUCUUACUAGCCUGUUUAUGUCUUACUAGCCUGUUUGUGUCUUACUGGUUUGCAGUAGCCUACUUUCAUGUUCUUUGUAGGCACUAUGUUUCACCAUAAUGUAGCACUGUAUCAUACAGCGGAUGUUAACCCCAGUCAUUCUCUUCAGUAGGUAAGCCAUCACAAUGCAAUGCUAGAUGUAGCCCAGUGUUGCCAGAAGAGAGCAAUAUCACAUGUCUGAAACUGCUGCAAAUCCGCCUCAUAGUCACUCUCAAUAUUCCUGCUGUGCAUGCUGUAACAUAGAAACAGGCAGGCAGCAGUUUCCAUGGGGCGUACACUGUCUCCAGAGCAUGAGUGUAUAUCACAUUAAUGGUAUUUAGUCUCCUUGUGAACACUGGAAAAUCAUGCACGAGUCUGUGGUAAUAUUAUACAUACUCUAUCAAGUUGUAUAUUUAGCUACAAUUCAUGUAGGCCUACACCCGACAGCAGACAGUCUUACAUAUUCUUUUCUCUAGCUCAUCUUUGUUGGCUGAGUAGUGUAUUUUACAGUAGGAAGUGCUUGGAGUGGAUGUGAGAAUGGUUGUGGUUAUUUCUGAAACUGCCAUACAGGCAGGCUGGGGGGAAGGAGAGGAGGAGAAGCCUUGCCACCCCUUUCAAAAGGUCCAUUCUCACAGAGAAAUAUAGGCGUCUGAUUUGACUAUGCGUGUAGAGAUGGGUGGGGACGACGUUGCCUCUCUCUGCUCAGUAAUGCUGGCUCUUCUGUCCCCUCCCUCCCCACUCACACUUACAGUGCUCUGCAUCCAUUUUUGUCACAUGAUUGGCUGAAUAACAUAACCAUGGCAACCAUGGCAGGUUUUUCAUAUUCAUUGGGCAAGCAAUCAGCAUAUUUGACACCAGCGUGUCAAUUUUUAUAUGUGCAUUCUUUCUGUGCAGAGGGCUCAUGUAUUUACAUUCAAUACAAGUCAAAUCUAGGUAGUGACUUUAUGAUGCAGGUAAUUUCUAUGCCAGACUAAGGAUGUAAAAUGGUCACCAAGCUGUUGCUACUGUUAUUAUAGCUUAAGUAUUGUCAUAACACUGAUGUUUUAUUGCAUAGGGACAGCUGAAGAGUGUUUCUCUCUGCUAAUACAGGAGUAAUAAAGGCCUAGUUCACAAAUUUUGUGGAUUUAAAUGUAGAUUUAUCAGAGGUUACUGCAGCACCCUCAGCACCCCUAAUUCCCACGGCUAUGGCCUUCUGCAUCAUGUACUGUAGAUGAGGAACAAUGGUUGUGUCUCAGUAGCAUCUGGUCUGUCUGGCUUCAGCAUGUCUCUCUCUCUGUGUCUCAGUAGCGUCUGGUCUGUCUGGCUUCAGCAUGUCUCUCUCUCUGUGUCUCAGUAGCGUCUGGUCUGUCUGGCUUCAGCAUGUCUCUCUCUCUGUGUCUCAGUAGCAUCUGGUCUGUCUGGCUUCAGCAUGUCUCUCUCUCUCUGUCUCAGUAGCAUCUGGUCUGUCUGGCUUCAGCAUGUCUCUCUCUCUGUGUCUCAGUAGUGUCUGGUCUGUCUGGCUUCAGCAUGUCUCUCUCUCUCUGUCUCAGUAGCAUCUGGUCUGUCUGGCUUCAGCAUGUCUCUCUCUCUCUGUCUCAGUAGCAUCUGGUCUGUCUGGCUUCAGCAUGUCUCUC
rnacentral:lncRNA from 1 species